UACGGAGGGUGCGAGCGUUGUCCGGAAUCACUGGGCGUAAAGGGCGCGUAGGCGGCUCAUGAAGGCUGUGGUGAAAGUCCGGGGCUCAACCUCGGAUCGGCCGUGGCGACUCGUGGGCUGGAGCACUGUAGAGGCGGGUGGAAUUCCGGGUGUAGCGGUGGAAUGCGCAGAUAUCAGGAGGAACACCAAUAGCGAAGGCAGCUCGCUGGGACGGUAUUGACGCUAAGGCGCGAAAGCGUGGGGAGCAAACAGG
rnacentral:rRNA from 1 species